rnacentral:lncRNA from 1 species
AGGAAGCAGAAUGCCAGGAUGAUAUGAUGCUUCAUGGUCUUUAUAAACAGCAGCUAAUGGCAGUUAGGGCUGGGAGGCCCCUUUUGCCUCAUUCAAGUCAACACCAUUUUUUUGAGGAAGAACUUGAAGGGGAAGAAAAGUGACUUUUCCAAGGUUACACAAGCGGCUAUGAGCUACUGAGGAGGCAGAUGACUAUCGACUCCAAUACUCUUGUUGUACAUUUGGGGAAACUGAGGCCCAGGAAGUUGAUUGACUUCCAUGGGGCUGAAUGGAAGACACAGUUUGUGACCCAAGGUCUUUGGACUACAAGUGAGAUCUGCCUACUGGGAUGUAAACAGAAAACCAGGCUGUUCAUGGGCAGAGUGACCUUUCCAGCAGGAGGAAGGGGCAGCCUGGGCCAAAGUUGGGGUGCAGUGGACCCGGGGAGUCUCUUCAAGGCAGACACUAAGGAGUAUUUGGGGAUAUUCACCAGAUGAGAACUUCCCCCAUGAAAACAGCGCUGCUGCCUAGUCAGUGGUGCAGAACAUUCUGUUGAAAACUUUAUUAAAUUAAGAGGAAAUGUGCCCCUGCUAGGCUGAGCUGCUAUGUAUAGACUUCCAUAAUAUUGUAUGAACACUGGAGUUUAAUAUCAACUUGUGGCUUGAAAGAUGUAGAAAACACAAUAAAAUUCAGAUAAAACCUGAUUACUGGAGAAAU